GGGGAGGAAAGGGAGGGGGGAGGGAAAUGUCACCCGGCGGGCGCGGUGCUGAGGGACGGAGCGAGGGGACGGAGGGACGGGGAGCGCCGCCGGCUGUCAAGCAGAGCAGUUGCCAAGUGAUCUUCUCCACAGCACCCACGAACUUUGGCCUUACAUGAAGAGGACUCAUCAAAUGCCUUGGGAGAUACAACACAGAAUUGGAAGAGAAGCAUGGAUCUCCACGGAGGGCAGUCCGCUGCAUUCUUGGUGUGUGGAGGAACGGGUCCUGUGCUCACUGUUGUUACUCCCACAUAGGCGGACUCUGUAACUGAUUAUAUGUGGGUAGGGCCCUAUUGAAAUUAAGGAGAUUCUGCAGUAGUGCGGGGUUCUGUUUGUGUGACCCCACUGUGCCUUCUUACUGUGAAUUCUGUCAGUGUAUCAUGGGUUGUGCUGGAACCUGCCUUUUGGGAUAAUUACCAAAUAAUAUAUUCCUCAAAACUUCUUAAUGGCACUGAGGCUUUGUGGAUAGUUGGUCACAUGAUGAGAAAAUUCAGCUGUGUCCUUUAAGACAGCACAAGGUACCAGUUUCAUCUGCCGUAGCUUUGUGGCACAAAACUGCACAUCUCUGUUUGCCCUGGAUCAGCCGUGACCAAAAUGCAACCCAUGCAGAAUUACAGCUUUUCUGUAAAUAAAAGUUUGUAGGCCUUAUUGUCUGAUGAUAAAUUUUUAAAUAUGAAUCAAAUGUAAAUUGGUCCCUUUUUCCUAAACCUGAAUAUAUAUAUAUAUACAUAUAUUUAUAGAUAUUUAAACUAUGCUUCUGUCUAAUCCUGUGUCUGUAAUGUUAUGGUCAUAUUGGCCUUGCUUCUGUUUACAAAUGUAUGGCCAAACGCGAAUGUCAGUUUGCUGCUACUUCAGAAAGCCAGAAGCAAAUAGCAGGUCCUAAAAUCAAUCUCAGGGGAAAUCAGAUAGAAGAGCAGAAAUGUUUAAAACAGCAACCAGAAGGUCUGGAGGGAGGGAGUAGGGAACAUCAUCGUAUUUCUGAAAUAGCAGGAAUGGUUUCCAAGCUGUGGUCUGCUAACCCCUGAUGGGCUACAAGGCUUUGAUAAGUUGAACAGCAAUUGGGCUAAACCAUAUCUAAUGGUGUUUUAAACAGCCCCUUCAAUUAAAAGUUUUAUCAGAUGGGCGUGUGCUGUUUUGUGAAAAAUGUUAAGGGCUGACAGCAAUCACUUGCUCCAGAAAUUUGGGCUCUGCUCUUCUGGUGUGUAUGAAAAGGUAGAGAGCGCUGCCUGCUUUUUCAACAUCACAUAGGCCACGUGCCUCUGCAGGAGAAGCAGCAGCAAGAGGUUCCCGGAGGGAGCCAGGAGGAUCAAGCUGGUAGCAGUAACCUUCUGUUCCACCACGUCCUUCCCAGGAACUAGUAAAAGAACUGCUGCUUUUUUAACUGUUGCCUUCUCCUGAGUAUCACUAACAGUUUUUGCUCCUCUUCCUUUGCAUCUGUGCUCGUGAAUAGUGGAUUUAGUGGCUUGAGAAGUGAGGAUUGGAUCCCCAUCGCACAAAGAUUAGACUUCUCAAUGAAAUGAAAAAACAUAUACAGCUUUGAAUGCUUAUCUGAUUUGCUAUCAACAUUAGCAGAUGCAAACUUUUCUUAUGAGUAUUAGCUCGUCUUAUUACAAGAUCAGUUUAUUACUCUAAAAAAAUCCACUUCUGUUUGACUGCGCUCUUUAAUUUACAUAAGCUGCCUGCAUGGUAAUUGUAAAAACCUUCCUCUUCCUCCUAUCAAGCCUCCUAUUCUUAAUAUUAUCCACACUGACAAUUUUCCAGAAUCGUAAUGUAUUUAUAUUAGCUAUGCUUUCAGUUGCCCCAAUGUAGGUUACUUUCUGUUGUCAUGAAUACCAUACAAGCACAUCAAUAAAUAAUUUGCAGAGAUUAUAUCUUUUCCAACAUAUUGUGCAUCUUUUUAGCAACCACAGUGGUGUUGAAGUGGAGAAAUUAUAAUAUUAUUAUAAAUCAUAAAUUCAAAUUAUAAAUCUUAUUCAAAUGGUAUAAAUGUGUUUAUCCUGAAGAAGUCUGUUGUCUAAUCUAAAAUUAGAUUGUAGCAUAUGUAUUAUAUGAAAUGUAAACAAAAUAGUACUGGAAACAAAAGUUACAGUAAUAAUGUUCUAAGGGAAUUAAAGUAGUUUGUCAGGCUAGCGUGCUCUGUGUAACCCUUUUUUGUUGCAUCUUUCCUAUUCCUGCUUUUUUGAUACAUAUGUAGGAAGUGAGUUUUGUGAAUGCUUCUAUAUGGUUGUUAUUAAUAUUAUAUUAUUAUUACUAAAUGUCUUUUGCUAACUGAUAUGAUUCUGCAGUUACCUUUCAGUGUUCUAAUAUGCAAUGUGCACAUGGUUGGUUUGCCCUGUUCACGUGCACAGGGCUAAGCUGGGUAUAAGGUCAGAAGGAAAUCUUUGCCUUGUGUCAGAAAGAAACAAGAGAGGAGAGUGUUUUUCUACCACUUUAGCAUGGAAAAAAGUUAUUUACCAGUGUUGUCUGGGGGUGAUUGGAGAGGAUAAAUACGCCUAUAAGCAAGGCAUAUGGGUACAGAAGCAGUGAUGGGGUAUACGGGUAGGGCUGAAGAUCAGUGUAUAGGAGUAAAGAUUUAGUGGCAGGGAUCAGGAAAGGAUUCCUGUAGGAGCUGGAGAGGUCACAGCUGGAUAAAGGCGUUGGGGUCAGCUGGAAGUCAGUACCCCAAAAAUGGCUAUGGCUCUCCACCACAGGCUCACUGCACACUUUCCCUACCUGUUCUCUCCCACGUCUUCUGGAAUCCCAGCUUCUUGUCUGAUUGUGAACUGGAAACCUUACUUUCCUGCUUACUCCAGAAACAAGGACACACACUAGUACAAAAGGCCCCUCAAACCCCUCCUGGGAGCACAAUAAUGCCUCUGCUUCACCAGAUAGUUUGCAUCUUCUCCAAGUGGGAUGUAACCCAUCAUUUGAAAUCUGCUCAUCAAAGAGGAGUUCGUUCAUUCUUCUUCCCCCUAUUCGUUAGAACGUGAUAAUUUUUUUUUCCUUUGUGCUGAAAUACAGCUUUUUUGAUAAUGUUUAACUUACCAAGAAGCAGAACAGUUCAGGAUUUCUAGAGCCUAAUCUAAUUCACAAUUCCUUGUGAUCUAGGACCUUCUUAAAAAAAAUAAAAAAAUCCAGUGGAUGAUUGCACCUACUGCUGAUACGUUGAAGCUUUCUGACAAUAUGCUUCAUUUUUUUAAUUACUAUUUUGCAGCCCACUUGAAAAUUGUUCAUGAAACCGCAAGACUCUGCAGAGAGAUUGAGAGCCACUUUCUAAGGGGAUAUCUUUAAAUGCAAGUUACUGUGUUGGUGGUUUUUUGAAAUUCAGGUGUUGGGUUUUUUUCUUUUAUCCCAUCUGUGAAACACCAAAGUGUUGAUAACCAUCUGUGAAACAACAUUUGAUGUAAUGGCUAUGACACUGCUUUAGAAAUCUUGUGAAAUAGAUUGUGUGGUUAGAAGAGCUGACAUCUAAAAAUGUAUGUCAUGGAUGUAGGUAAUAAAUGUUGCUUGGGAACUGUUGCAGGGGAAAAAGAACUUGAUUUGUGUACAAUAUACUGGUCUUAACUUUUUAGCUCUUUAAAAUCUCUUUCUUAGUAUUUUCCUGUAUGUUCGUUGUAAAGUAUUUAAAGAUACGAGUCAUUGCAUUUGCCAAAGUAUUCAGUGCAUCAUUUAAAAUUACUACCAAAGGAGAGAGGUGGAUUCACUUCACAUAACAGCUAAGCAUAAAAAUAAUGAUUUGGAAAUAAUCGUGUGGUUCCAAAGCAGUAAAAAUCAUUUUGUUUUUCUAUAUGAGCAGAGCUCUGCGCAGAACGGUGAUCUCAUUCUACCUUACCAGAUUACAGUUACCUACGUAGAUUGUCAGUACUAAACUUUAUCCUGGUGAUUUUGUAACUUUAUUCAGAAAAAGGGAGAAAUGCAAACACUUAAAUUUUAAGUAAUCGCUCUUUGUCCGUGGUAAAAGAUUGCAAGCACAAGCUUAGUAUUUCCCUCCAGGAUUGGAUUCAUAGUCCUUCAAGUUUUGCAAUUAACAGGGAAUGUGCAGGUGAAUAGGGAAAAGCAAAUGUGAAAGGAAAAAAAUCAGAUGGAGUGGAGAAAAUUUCCCUUCCUUUAUUUUACUUCCUUUACUUUUCCUGGAGAAAAGAAGACUGCGUGGUGACCUCCAACCUUUCAAUACCUAAGGGGAAGGAGGAGAACCAACUCUUUGAAAGGGUAGAUAAUAGCAGGACAAGGGGAAAUGGUUUUAAGUUGGGGGAGGGAAGAUUUAAUUUGGAUGUCAGGGGGAAGUUCUUUACUAUGAGAGUGGUGAGGUGCUGGCACAGGCUGCCCAGAGAGGUUGUGGAUGCCCCAUCCAUGGAGAUGUUCAUGGCCAGGUUGGAUGGGACCCUGGGCAGCUUGGUUGGUGGCCCUGCAUGUGGUGGGGGGUUGAAGAUUCACACACAGAAUCACACACACAGUGAUCCUCGAGGUCCCUUCCAACCCUGGCCAUUCUGUGAUUCUGUGACUUACAGAAGGAAGGGCAAGAUGAAAGUGUGUAAUGAGCACAGGAGAAAUAACAGGGUGAAAAGGGAGGAAUAAUGUUCAGUGCUCAGACUUGUAAUGCUUUGCGCGUGUGUGGAAGAUAGAUUGAGAUUUCUGCUUUCUGACUAACUGCUGUACUGAGACGUACUUUAUUCCAUGUCCUUUUUUGCCUUCCUGUGGUUGCUUCUAAAAAAGGGUUGAAAUUAUCUUUCUGAGGCAACCUCAAUCACAAAGUGCACUAUCUCCCUCAUUGUUCUGUCUUCCUAACCUAGCCAUCUAAAAACACUGCUGGAAACACAAAUAAUAAAAAAGCCAGUUUUAUAUAUAUAUAUAUAUAUAUAUAUAUAUAUUUGCUAUUGUUAAUUCCACUCACUGGCAUUUGGGACAGAGGACAGCAUACAGAAAGGCUGUAACACUGAACGGUGGCAAAAAUUCUGUGCAAAACCUUGUUGUAAUAACAAUGGAAGUGAAAAUUAGCCUCGUUUUUCAAGUUGUUUUUUUUGUCAAGUUCUUGUCCACACCGUGUUCGAGGCUGUUCAUUCUAGAUGGAACACUUAUAGCCAAUACUUUAUAUACCAUCCUCAAAGAGCAAUGUGAAAUAUAAGUGACUGUCUAAAUCCAGAAGAGGUUUAUCCAUCUCUACAUCAGUUUGUCAGAAUUUAAAUGGAAAGUGAGACUGAACAGGAAACUGUAAAUAUAUUAAAAUAUAUUAUAAAAAUAUAAAUACAUAAACUCUAACUGCUAAUUUAUCAUCAUUCAACCAGACUAGGCGAAGUCACUUCAUAAGCAAAUGUAGGUAUAGAUCAACAGACUACUCACAUGAGCCUUUGUUACAGGUUAGACAUCAGUGUAUGGAUUUCAUCCAUGAUCUGUAAUAAAAUAACAUAAAUUAGGAAGAUGGCAAAAAAGGUUUAAUUCAUUAGUUUGUUCAUUUGUAUGUCUACAUGUUUCUGAAGAGUAUAUAUGGCCUUAAAGCAGAGUAAAUUGGGAAAGUAUGGGGUUUUUUUUAACUGCACAAUUAAUGUUUAUAUAGCCAGUAGUUCUGGUCUUCAUGAGUUAUAAUGCUAAAAACUUGUUUAUUUUUAAACAAACCUCCUGUUUUCUUCCAUUCACUUGGUGCUAUGCAUAAAACACCUUAGCUGUCCACCUGAGCACCACUACAUUGUCACUGAGCCCUUAGCUGAUGCACGGCAGUGUGCAUCCCUACAACAGAAACAGAACAGAAAUGGGUGGUGCAAGGACAGCACUUACGGUGCCAAUUCACAAUUAAUUUUUGGGUGAUAACAUCUACUUCUUGGAAGGUAGAACAACUCAGUAUUAAUUUCUACUAAUAGAAAGAUACAGGCCUUUGUAAGAAUUACACUACGAAUUGCUGUGUUACAGGAUUCAUUUUCAUGUGUAGUGUCUGUGCCAUUGCACAGGAGAAUUUGGACAGCAGUCUGUAAGGGCACCCAGUAACGGUAAGAAGACUGAAAAACUAAUGUAGCUGUGCUCUGUUCAUUCAAAAAGGAUAUUGAAAUUAAAAGCAGACACAACUUUGGGAAGUUCUAGAUAACAGACUUCAUGCUGUAUGUUAAAUUUAGCUGCUAUCAUUAUGUUGCUUUGCAUUAGCGUUGUACUAUUUUCCAUCAAAGGUCUAUCGUUCUUUAGAUGAUGUAAACUCUUCAGUGCAGAAUUGUAUUUCAAGCAGGGUAAUAUUUAGGUUUUAAAGACAUCUUUUUAAUUGCAUUGACAGAUCCAUGUUGUCCUUACAUAAUAGGCAGGAUUGGGGUGACUGUAUCCUGAAAUAGUCAUUAAAAACAUAGAGUAAAUUGCAAGACCAUUACGUCUCCAAGGUGGUAUGAAUUAUGGUGUGGCAGUGGUGGUAUGGAUUAUGGCUCAGACUUGCUAUGCAAAAAAGUGCACACUGUGAACACUGUCCUGUUGGGAUGCAUUGCAAAUUCCCCAGAGCAGUGCUCAGGAGGAAGCUCCCUUUCCCAUCCUCUUUUCUCACUAUUUAUGCUUUGGUACUGCAGUUCUCUAAGACCAGUGUCUUGCUUUUGCAUCAGGGCUGGCAAUCUGGUGUACGUGGGAUAAAAGGCUUAUGCCUUUAAACUUGCUCCUGGAGCUUUUGCACACAGACAGGUCUAUAUAUCAACAUUAAAACCACUCCUUCACCCUUGACUCCUGUCUUUAUAGCUCAUUUAAAGUAACCAUUACAAUCUAAGUAUCCUAUUUGUAAAUAAUCACUGAAUUUAGUGGCAAAUGACUGAAAUAUCAGCAGUGCCAUUGUAAGUAUCAGAUACAUGUGAUAUUUCCUGAAUCACAUUCUUAAUCUUGGGAAUACAGAAUCCCAGUCAUGCCAAGCUUUGAUUUUAGAUUACAGGAGUUAAGCUUAAGUCCCCAGUAGUACAUAGAUUUGCCUAACAGAGGAGCAAACUUAAUUUUGACUGGAUCAGAAUUCUUUUUUUGUGCUCAAUAUAUUAAUGUUUGGUAAUAAUAAUUAAACAACAGCAACAAAAACCCAUGACACAAGCAUACUGCAUAUUCUGUGCAGAUGAAAGCUGUUAGCAAAUUUUGGUUGUUCAGAAUAAACAAAGUUGAAAAUGUGCUCUCUUUCGUAUUACUUUAAUCUUAGUGUCGUUACCUAUAAGUAUUCAGCGUAUCUGUGCUCACAAAACCUAGUGAACGUCAAGAAAUUAGUAACAUUCCAAAGAUAUGGUUCAGAGUCUGAGAUUUAAGCCUUAGGAUGGGAUGAAUCGCCCUCUGGAGGUGCCCGUUUCAGUCUACUGGCUUCCCAGGAAUCCUGCCUUAACUGCCUAGCUUAAACUAAAAGUGAAGUGAGUGGACUGUCACCAGAGGAGAGGAGUAACUAAGCCAUGCUGGGUCUUUUCUGUAAACCUUUCUAUUUGUUAAGAAUAGCUACCUUAUUCCUCACCUUUAUUUGUCACUCUUCUUCUUGUACCAUUUAUAAAAUAAGUACAAUUGUUACUGUCACUAUUUUUUGUGUAUUUCCUGCUUGUUUUUUCUUUUCCUGUCCCAUCUUAUUAUCUUUCUCUGUCUUUUUAUCUUUCCCUGGCUUU